rnacentral:rRNA from 1 species
CAGCAGCCACGGUAAUACGGAGGGGGCUAGCGUUGUUCGGAAUUACUGGGCGUAAAGCGCACGUAGGCUGCUUUGUAAGUCAGAGGUGAAAGCCCGGGGCUCAACCCCGGAUGUGCCUUUGAGACUGCAGGGCUAGAACGUCGGAGAGGUGAGUGGAAUUCCGAGUGUAGAGGUGAAAUUCGUAGAUAUUCGGAAGAACACCAGUGGCGAAGGCGGCUCACUGGACGACUGUUGACGCUGAGGUGCGAAAGCGUGGGGAGCAAACAGGAUUAGAUACCCCUGUAGUCCCUGUCUCUUAUAC